UACGUAGGGUGCGAGCGUUGUCCGGAAUUAUUGGGCGUAAAGAGCUUGUAGGCGGCUUGUCGCGUCUGCUGUGAAAAUCCGGGGCUCAACCCCGGACGUGCAGUGGGUACGGGCAGACUAGAGUGUGGUAGGGGAGACUGGAAUUCCUGGUGUAGCGGUGGAAUGCGCAGAUAUCAGGAGGAACACCGAUGGCGAAGGCAGGUCUCUGGGCCAGUACUGACGCUGAGAAGCGAAAGCAUGGGGAGCGAACAGG
rnacentral:rRNA from 1 species